rnacentral:lncRNA from 1 species
AAAACACCCGGAAAACACCCGGAAAUACACCCAGAAACACCCCGGAAACACCCGGAAAUACACCCAGAAAUACACCCAGAAACAGCCCGAAAACACCCGGAAAUACACCCAGAAACAGCCCGGAAACACCCGGAAAUACACCCAGAAACACCCCGGAAACACCCGGAAAUACACCCAGAAACAGCCCGGAAACACCCGGAAAUACACCCAGAAACAACCCAAAACACCCGGAAAUACACCCGGAAACAGCCCGAAAACACCCGGAAAUACACCCAGAAAUACCCAAAAAUACCCCAAAAUUGCUGGUCUGUACUGGGAGCCGUUACUGGUCUGUACUGGGAGCUGUUACUGGUCUGUACUGGGAGCCGUUACUGGUCUGUACUGGGAGCUGUUACUGGUCUGUACUGGUCUGUACUGGGAGCUGUUACUGGUCUGUACUGGUCUGUACUGGGAGCUGUUACUGGUCUAUACUGGUCUGUACUGGUGUCAAUAAAGGUGUCAAUGGAGCAGUGGCUGUGUGGGGGAAGGGUACUGGGACAUACUGGGGCAUACUGGGACAUACUGGGACAUACUGGGGUGUACUGGGGCAUACUGGGACAUACUGGGGUGUACUGGGACAUACUGGGACAUACUGGGGUGUACUGGGACAUACUGGGACAUACUGGGACAUACUGGGGCAUACUGGGACAUACUGGGACAUACUGGGGUGUACUGGGACAUACUGGGACAUACUGG